CAGCUUUCUUUUCCAAUUUGGCUGUCCACAAGGUUAGUUCAAAGUUAAACGGAACCAGGAGCAGGCAUAUACGGGAAAACUGGCGAAAGAAUCUUAUAAAGGAAUACAUCUACAGGCAGCGCUGAAUCCAGUUUCAGGGUUUGGCGCUAAAUAUAUAGCGCAAGUGCGAGCCAAACGGACGGCUUAACAUCGAGCCAGGUGGCAGACAUUUUCCUCGGAGAACGACGGAUCGCUCAGCCCAGGGAGAAACGAAACGGCGGCUCGAAACUCCCGUAGCGAGGAGCUGCAUUUAGCUGAUUACUAAUUAAUAACCUUUGAAUUAGGCCUCUGAAUGGCAGAAAAGGGUUGCAAGCAGGCAUAGAUACGUCCCAAUUAGGAAUCGCGGCAGCACACAAUUUCUUUUCCAUUUCGGCGGACUCUUAUUUUUGGUUAAUUACUCUUAGAGAGCCAUCGAUGACGUAGAAAUCUCCACGUUCCAUUUGGUCGCCAUGUUCCCCUUGCGCACUUAAAGAAGGGAACGAGAAGAGGAGGAACGAAAAGGAGAGGGGAGAAUAACCAAGUCCAGCAGUUGCAAUCGCGGUUUCUUGUUCGGCGGGCGAGCAAAAGUUUUGUCGCGCGGUCUGGCCGUAAUUUGGUGAAUCCGACCAGAGGAAAAUCCGCUGAUCGACGGCGCGGGAAAAACCCCCUUAGUGAGCGAGAAGGCCGGAAAAUAGUGGAGAGAUUUUUUUUGUAUAGUGGAAUAAGUUAUUAUGUAAAUGAAAAGUGGCAGUGCGAAGGAGAGAGGGAAAGAUAAGGAAAAGAGUCCAUCAUUUUUUUUAGUGUCCCUUAUGUGCUCCGUCUUCUUCUUCUUUUUUUUUUGUUUCUUUUGUUCAGUUUUAGCAAGCCUAUGAUUAAGCAAUAAGGCACAGUGGGUCAAAGACCAAUACAGAGAGUGAAAAAAUAUUUAAGUUUCCCACAGGUGCGGCAGACUCCAACGGAAGCGCUUUCGUCGGUGGAACUCCGGAUUGUUGGUGAGUGAUUAAAUCACGUAAUUGCAAUGGCAAUGAUCAAUGAGGUAUACAUAAUUUGGUGAAAAAGAAAGAAAGUAAUUACGUCUGAAUUUUCGAUUCCUUGUCCCACUGUCCGCCGCGAGCGAAAUUAGGUCGAAGUUUUAGAGCCUCUGAAGAAAAGGAAGAGGAGGAAUGCGAAUUCAAGGCCAAGGCCAAGAGUGGAAUGUCGGAAUUAGAGUCUGAUUUUUUUCUGUUUGUCCGUCUCUCUUUAACUCUCGCACAUAUGUAUGUUGUUUUUGCCACCAGAGCAGCAAUCGCUCUCUUUAUUUGAUUUGUUUAAUUUUAAUAUUCUUAAGUUCCAUUUGGGUGCCUAUGGCACACUCGAAAUUAGUGGAGAUCUAAAUAUCGAAAUUUUCUCUAUUAUUCGACUCGCAUACAAUUCUGAUAGUUAUUUAAGGUCCCACAUUUUUUCUCGCAUGCGAUUUUUACUCAUUUUUGUUUACGUUUUGUUACUGGCGCAUGCACUUGUUGCUAGCCUCCAUGCUGAAUUACCCAUUUGUUAGCUGUAAGAAAAUUCUCUUAGUG